rnacentral:lncRNA from 1 species
GAAGGGCGGUCCCCCGCGGCGGUUCUUCAGGUCGAUGUCGCGGAUGGCGCCGUAUUUGUAAAACACGUCCUCGAUGUCCUUGGUUCGGAUGUCCGGAGGUACCUCUGAUUCCUUCCACUCAUCUGUUAUCAGCUGGGAGCUGGUGACCUUCUGGAGUCAGCCUCUGUUAGAGGCAGAUGCAUUGUUCCGGUGGCUGCAGCUGGGGAGUCCCUUCAGGCUCAAAAGUAGAAAUCUCUGGUAGAUUUUUUUUGGCUUCGAGACAAGCAAGUGGAUGCAGAGGAUCUCUUGCAGGGAGAGGUGGUGUUACCUGCUGCGUGGUGGCCAUAGUUCUCCACCACAAGUCUCCCAGGCAUCCAUAGUUCUCCACAAGUCUUCCGGUGUGUGUCACUUAUUUUCACGUAGCCUAUAACAAAUGUUAAGCCAUCAGACUCUCAGAAUAAAGAGCGAAUAUGUAGAA